AAAAAGACAAACCUUGGGUUUCCGUGUCCAAUAUUUGAUUGUUCGUCUUAUAUGAAUUUUUUUAUCAUUAGUAUUUUCGUUGUUGUUAGAUGAUAAAACAUGAUUAAUACUUUAUGCGUGACUUAUCUUAUUAAUUUUUUUCAUAAUUUUUUCAAAUAAGACGGACGGUCAAAUUGGACACAGAAACCCAGGGUUUGUCUUUUU
rfam:Oryza glumipatula chromosome 8, whole genome shotgun sequence.